UAGGGAAUCUUCCGCAAUGGACGCAAGUCUGCCGGAGCAACGCCGCGUGAGUGAAGAAGGAUUUCGGUUCGUAAAACUCUGUUGUUAGAGAAGAACAGCGCAUAGAGUAACUGUUAUGCGUGUGACGGUAUCUAACCAGAAAGCCACGGCUAACUACGUGCCAGCAGCCGCGGUAAUACGUAGGUGGCAAGCGUUGUCCGGAUUUAUUGCGCGUAAAGCGAGCGUAGGCGGUCAAUUAAGUCUGAUGUGAAGGCCCCCGGCUCAACCCGAGAGGGUCAUUGGAAACAGGUUGACUUGGUUGAAGAGUAGGAGGGAGGAAUUCCAUGUGUGGCGGUGAAAUGCGUAGAUAUAUAGAGGAACUCCAGUGACGAAGGCGACUAUCUGGUCUGUAACUUACGCAGAGGCUCGAAAGCGUGGGUAGCAGACAGG
rnacentral:rRNA from 1 species